ACAGGCAAGGAGAGCACUUCUCCAGUGGUGGCCUCGGCGCUUCUUCAUCCUGCCUGUACUACCUCAUGUAAUGCUGCAUAUGGAUCGACUCUGGGGUCUCAAAAGACAGAAAGGACUAGUUGCUGUAUCUUUGGCUGUUAAGGAAAAGACAACAGGGCCAGCAGGACUCCCCAGCUGUCCCUGCUGUGGAGCACAGAGCACCGGCUUCCAGCUCCUGCCACCAAGACCUGUUGACCUUGCCUAGAGGAACAACCUCCUGACAGCCCUGGCUCAUGGCGAUGCUUUCCUGAUGGAGCCAUUAGAAAUGAGUAAUUCUGCCCAGAGGUGAAAACAGAGUAAGCCACCAGGCCAGAGGGGCAGGAAAGGAUGGAGGAUCUCUUCUUGUGCCACACCCUGAUGCAUGCUCUAAGUUUAUGUCCCCCUAAUGCCUGCAAAAUAAACCACCCAGGCCCCCGUGUGA